UUCAUCAACAUAUCAUCAAACAAACCCUAAUAUCUUUCUCGGGCUUAAAAAAUUAAGUAAUGGCAACCAAUUCUCUCAAAACUCUUUUGGUGACUCUGUUGGUCUGUGCACUAGUAAUGUCUCCGAUGAUGCCCAUUGAAGCAUCUCCUCUUAAUCAUCGUCGAGAGCUCCGUAGAUUACCACCAAAUUGUGACCCUGGCUAUUAUCUUGUAUGCAAGCCCAACAAUGAAUGCAAGUGUUGUGAAGAAGGCACGCCUCCUAGCAAUUGCUGAAAAUCAAAUUAUUAUGAAUAAAUGAGUAUUUCAAUAAGAAUAUAAAUUAGAAGACUGUCUCUCUUUAUAUAUUUAUUUAUAACUUGUAUGAGCUACUCAAAUAUGUUUAGCUAUCAUAUCUUAAUAAAAGAGUACCUCCCUUAAUAUAUUUAUUUA